UGGGGAAUAUUGCACAAUGGGCGCAAGCCUGAUGCAGCCAUGCCGCGUGUAUGAAGAAGGCCUUCGGGUUGUAAAGUACUUUCAGUCGGGAGGAAGGUGGUAAGGUUAAUAACCUUAUCAAUUGACGUUACCGACAGAAGAAGCACCGGCUAACUCCGUGCCAGCAGCCGCGGUAAUACGGAGGGUGCAAGCGUUAAUCGGAAUUACUGGGCGUAAAGCGCACGCAGGCGGUUGAUUGAGUCAGAUGUGAAAUCCCCGGGCUUAACCCGGGAAUUGCAUCUGAUACUGGUCAGCUAGAGGCUUGUAGAGGGGGGUAGAAGUCCAGGUGUAGCGGUGAAAGGCGUAGAGAUGUGGAGGAAUACCGGUGGCGAAGGCGGCCACCUGGACAAAGACUGACGCUCAGGUGCGAAAGCGUGGGGAGCAAACAGG
rnacentral:rRNA from 1 species